rnacentral:rRNA from 1 species
GACAGAGGUGCCGAGCGUUAGGCGGAAUCACUGGGCGUAAAGCGUGCGCAGGCGGUUAUUUAAGUCAGGUGUGAAAGCCCUGGGCUUAACCUAGGAAUUGCGCUUGAGACUGGAUAGCUUGGAGUGCGGCAGAGGGAGGUGGAAUUCCACGUGUAGCAGUGAAAUGCGUAGAGAUGUGGAGGAACACCGAUGGCGAAGGCAGCCUCCUGGGCCAGCACUGACGCUCAUGCACGAAAGCGUGGGGAGCAAACAGG